GGACCAUUAGCUCAGUUGGUUAGAGCUACCGGCUCAUAACCGGUCGGCCCAAGGUUCGAGUCCUUGAUGGUCCACCA
rnacentral:tRNA from 1 species